rnacentral:rRNA from 1 species
UACGAAGGGGGCAAGCGUUGUUCGGAAUUACUGGGCGUAAAGGGCGCGUAGGCGGCUUAUCAAGUCAGGCGUGAAAUUCCCGGGCUCAACCUGGGGGCUGCGCUUGAUACUGAUGAGCUUGAAUGCGGGAGAGGAUAGUGGAAUUCCCAGUGUAGAGGUGAAAUGCGCAGAUAUCAGGAAGAACACCCGUGGCGAAGGCGGUUCUCUGGGACGGUACUGACGCUGAGACGCGAAAGCGUGGGGAGCGAACAGG